rnacentral:rRNA from 1 species
UACGAAGGGGGCUAGCGUUGCUCGGAAUCACUGGGCGUAAAGCGCACGUAGGCGGGUUGUUAAGUCGGGGGUGAAAUCCUGGAGCUCAACUCCAGAACUGCCUUCGAUACUGGCGACCUUGAGUCCGGGAGAGGUGAGUGGAACUCCGAGUGUAGAGGUGAAAUUCGUAGAUAUUCGGAAGAACACCAGUGGCGAGGGCGGCUCACUGGCCCGGUACUGACGCUGAGGUGCGAAAGCGUGGGGAGCAAACAGG